rnacentral:lncRNA from 1 species
GAAUCUGAUACAGUGAAACCUGGUUAAAUCGAACCUCUACGGGACUUAAGGUUUUGUUCGGUUAUCAGGUUCACUUCGCAUACUAUUUGAUAUGACGGUGCUUAAGAACUUGUUUGGUUGAUACAGGUUUUCGGUUUAUGUAGGAUUCGGUUUAGUAAGGUUUCACUGUACUUAAAAGUGGUGCGCAUUACAUAUAUGAGUAUAAGAAAGAAAGUCAAGUUAAAAUAAAAUUGAGAAAGGAAAUGGGGAAUGCGUCAAAGCGACAACAUAGAGCAAACAACAGCCGAAGGCCACCCAUGGGUCUGGUUCAUUCACAGCAGAAGUCUGAAUCAAAAUUUCCUCAUUGGACUUUAAUUCAGUUGAGAACAAUUUACAUACGUUUCGUAAGAGAUGUUUAUAUCGCAAUAUUUGUGACAAUAUCGUAUUGUAAUGCUUUAAAUAAUUGUAAGAGAGACGAAGGACACCAAAGGUACAUUCUAACUCAAACGUUGAAAAUAAAAUGACAACGCCUGGACUAAAAAUGAAAAAGAAAAAACCACACCAACAGACCAUAUGAUCAGACCAACAAAGUACAAAAAAAACCCAUAGAAAACUAUCAAUACUGGUGGUCUCAUGUGCCCAAGAAGGGUAAGCAGAAUCUGCUACACAUAUUGCAUGGGUUCACUUGAUAAUGUAUACUAUAUAUUUUAGUCUUUCAAAAUUACAAUAGCA